GGAAUAUUGCACAAUGGGGGAGACCCUGAUGCAGCGACGCCGCGUGAGCGAAGAAGUAUUUCGGUAUGUAAAGCUCUAUCAGCAGGGAAGAAAAAUGACGGUACCUGAGUAAGAAGCACCGGCUAAAUACGUGCCAGCAGCCGCGGUAAUACGUAUGGUGCAAGCGUUAUCCGGAUUUACUGGGUGUAAAGGGAGCGCAGGCGGUGCGGCAAGUCUGAUGUGAAAGCCCGGGGCUCAACCCCGGGACUGCAUUGGAAACUACCGAACUAGAGUGUCGGAGAGGUAAGUGGAAUUCCUAGUGUAGCGGUGAAAUGCGUAGAUAUUAGGAGGAACACCAGUGGCGAAGGCGGCUUACUGGACGAUAACUGACGCUGAGGCACGAAGGCCAGGGGAGCGAAA
rnacentral:rRNA from 1 species